rnacentral:rRNA from 1 species
GACUAAGCGUACACGGUGGAUGCCCUGGCAGUCAGAGGCGAUGAAGGACGUGCUAAUCUGCGAAAAGCGUCGGUAAGGUGAUAUGAACCGUUAUAACCGGCGAUGUCCGAAUGGGGAAACCCAGUGUGAUUCGUCACACUAUCGUUAACUGAAUACAUAGGUUAACGAGGCGAACCGGGGGAACUGAAACAUCUAAGUACCCCGAGGAAAAGAAAUCAACCGAGAUUCCCCCAGUAGCGGCGAGCGAACGGGGAGCAGCCCAGAGUCUGAAUCAGCUUGUGUGUUAGUGGAACGGUCUGGAAAGUCCGACGGUACAGGGUGAUAGUCCCGUACACCAAAAUGCACAGGUUGUGAACUCGAAGAGUAGGGCGGGACACGUGGUAUCCUGUCUGAAUAUGGGGGGACCAUCCUCCAAGGCUAAAUACUCCUGACUGACCGAUAGUGAACCAGUACCGUGAGGGAAAGGCGAAAAGAACCCCGGCGAGGGGAGUGAAAAAGAACCUGAAACCGUGUACGUACAAGCAGUGGGAGCACCUUCGGGUGUGACUGCGUACCUUUUGUAUAAUGGGUCAGCGACUUAUAUUCUGUAGCAAGGUUAACCGUAUAGGGGAGCCGCAGGGAAACCGAGUCUUAACUGGGCGUUAAGUUGCAGGGUAUAGACCCGAAACCCGGUGAUCUAGCCAUGGGCAGGUUGAAGGUUGGGUAACACUAACUGGAGGACCGAACCGACUAAUGUUGAAAAAUUAGCGGAUGACUUGUGGCUGGGGGUGAAAGGCCAAUCAAACCGGGAGAUAGCUGGUUCUCCCCGAAAGCUAUUUAGGUAGCGCCUCGUGAACUCAUCUUCGGGGGUAGAGCACUGUUUCGGCUAGGGGGUCAUCCCGACUUACCAACCCGAUGCAAACUACGAAUACCGAAGAAUGUUAUCACGGGAGACACACGGCGGGUGCUAACGUCCGUCGUGAAGAGGGAAACAACCCAGACCGCCAGCUAAGGUCCCAAAGUCAUGGUUAAGUGGGAAACGAUGUGGGAAGGCACAGACAGCCAGGAUGUUGGCUUAGAAGCAGCCAUCAUUUAAAGAAAGCGUAAUAGCUCACUGGUCGAGUCGGCCUGCGCGGAAGAUGUAACGGGGCUAAACCAUGCACCGAAGCUGCGGCAGCGACACUAUGUGUUGUUGGGUAGGGGAGCGUUCUGUAAGCCUGCGAAGGUGACCUGUGAGGGUUGCUGGAGGUAUCAGAAGUGCGAAUGCUGACAUAAGUAACGAUAAAGCGGGUGAAAAGCCCGCUCGCCGGAAGACCAAGGGUUCCUGUCCAACGUUAAUCGGGGCAGGGUGAGUCGACCCCUAAGGCGAGGCCGAAAGGCGUAGUCGAUGGGAAACAGGUUAAUAUUCCUGUACUUGGUGUUACUGCGAAGGGGGGACGGAGAAGGCUAUGUUAGCCGGGCGACGGUUGUCCCGGUUUAAGCAUGUAGGCUGGUUAUCCAGGCAAAUCCGGAUAAUCAAGGCUGAGGUGUGAUGACGAGGCACUACGGUGCUGAAGUAACAAAUGCCCUGCUUCCAGGAAAAGCCUCUAAGCAUCAGGUAACAUCAAAUCGUACCCCAAACCGACACAGGUGGUCAGGUAGAGAAUACCAAGGCGCUUGAGAGAACUCGGGUGAAGGAACUAGGCAAAAUGGUGCCGUAACUUCGGGAGAAGGCACGCUGGUGUGUAGGUGAAGUCCCUGCGGAUGGAGCUGAGACCAGUCGAAGAUACCAGCUGGCUGCAACUGUUUAUUAAAAACACAGCACUGUGCAAACACGAAAGUGGACGUAUACGGUGUGACGCCUGCCCGGUGCCGGAAGGUUAAUUGAUGGGGUUAUCCGUAAGGAGAAGCUCUUGAUCGAAGCCCCGGUAAACGGCGGCCGUAACUAUAACGGUCCUAAGGUAGCGAAAUUCCUUGUCGGGUAAGUUCCGACCUGCACGAAUGGCGUAAUGAUGGCCAGGCUGUCUCCACCCGAGACUCAGUGAAAUUGAACUCGCUGUGAAGAUGCAGUGUACCCGCGGCAAGACGGAAAGACCCCGUGAACCUUUACUAUAGCUUGACACUGAACAUUGAGCCUUGAUGUGUAGGAUAGGUGGGAGGCUUUGAAGCGUGGACGCCAGUCUGCGUGGAGCCAACCUUGAAAUACCACCCUUUAAUGUUUGAUGUUCUAACGUUGGCCCCUUACCGGGGUUGCGGACAGUGUCUGGUGGGUAGUUUGACUGGGGCGGUCUCCUCCCAAAGCGUAACGGAGGAGCACGAAGGUUAGCUAAUCCUGGUCGGACAUCAGGAGGUUAGUGCAAUGGCAUAAGCUAGCUUGACUGCGAGCGUGACGGCGCGAGCAGGUGCGAAAGCAGGUCAUAGUGAUCCGGUGGUUCUGAAUGGAAGGGCCAUCGCUCAACGGAUAAAAGGUACUCCGGGGAUAACAGGCUGAUACCGCCCAAGAGUUCAUAUCGACGGCGGUGUUUGGCACCUCGAUGUCGGCUCAUCACAUCCUGGGGCUGAAGUAGGUCCCAAGGGUAUGGCUGUUCGCCAUUUAAAGUGGUACGCGAGCUGGGUUUAGAACGUCGUGAGACAGUUCGGUCCCUAUCUGCCGUGGGCGCUGGAGAAUUGAGGGGGGCUGCUCCUAGUACGAGAGGACCGGAGUGGACGCAUCACUGGUGUUCGGGUUGUCAUGCCAAUGGCACUGCCCGGUAGCUAAAUGCGGAAGAGAUAAGUGCUGAAAGCAUCUAAGCACGAAACUUGCCCCGAGAUGAGUUCUCCCUGAGACUUUAAGUCUCCUGAAGGAACGUUAAAGACGAUGACGUUGAUAGGCCGGGUGUGUAAGCGCAGCGAUGCGUUGAGCUAACCGGUACUAAUGAACCGUGAGGCUUAACCUUACAACGCCGAAG